CGCUCCCUGUCGCAGCCGGAGAGUCUCUGCUUCCCCCUUCCUACCCGCUCCGCGGCGGUAGCUUAGGCUCUUCGGGGAGGGGGAGACAGAGAAAGAGAAGAGAGAGACUGACUUAAUAAAGUUUCCUGAAACAGCAACUACUACCAAAAAGGGCCCACGGUGGGGGGAAACCCCCAUCCUUCCCCGCCCCUCUCCAAAAGCCUGAGGGACCGUUGCAGGUGGAGCGGCGCUGGGGGGAGCCGGGCUCCGGCGGCAGCCGUUGCCCCGGCCAGGCGGGGGGGCCUCGGGUCCUGCCCGCUCGCUCCGGUUCCGGCUCCUGCGGUGGCGGCGGCAGCGGCAGCGGCUGCGGGGCGGUUCCUCCUGUCAACUGCCUGCGCCCGCGCGCCGCCCGCCCGCCCAGCUCCACAGCGCGGAGGGACGCCGUGAGCCGCCGUUGCCGUCGCCUCGCGCCGCGGAGGGACGUGGUGAGCUGUGGCGCUUCCGCCUCAGCGCCGGCGGGGACUCUUUGGGAGCGCGUGGGGCCCGAACCCCGGUCCCUUCGCGCGGUCCGCCGAGGCUGCGCCAGGUGGGGCCCGGAGCCGUCUCCCACGCCAGCCUGUCCCCGCGGCCGCCCGGCCUGCCUUCCUUCCUUCCGCCCGCCCGCCGGCCCGCCCUAGGAGUUCACCAAGCCGCAAUGAAGAGCUUCUUACAGUGAAAGGAAAGUAGGUCGCGCCCACUGAAAAUGCCUUUAAGGGACAAAUACUGUCAGACUGACCACCAUCAUCACGGAUGCUGUGAACCAGUUUAUAUCCUGGAACCUGGAGAUGCUCCUUUGUUACAGCAACCACUACAGACAUCCAAAUCUGGUAUUCAGCAAAUAAUUGAGUGCUUUCGAUCAGGAACUAAACAACUUAAGCAUAUUUUAUUGAAAGAUGUGGACACUAUUUUUGAAUGUAAAUUAUGCCGCAGUCUCUUCAGAGGAUUACCAAAUUUAAUUACCCAUAAGAAAUUCUACUGCCCACCAAGUCUCCAGAUGGAUGACAACCUUCCUGAUGUAAAUGAUAAGCAAAGCCAAGCCAUAAGCGAUCUCCUAGAAGCCAUAUAUCCAAGUGUGGACAAGCGAGAAUACAUUAUUAAGCUAGAACCCAUAGAAACUAAUCAAAAUGCAGUGUUUCAGUAUAUUUCAAGGACUGAUAAUCCUACUGAAGUCACAGAGUCAAGCAGUACUCCUGAACAGCCUGAAGUUCAAAUACAGGAAGCUAGUACUGAACAGUCUAAAACAGUUCCAGUUACAGACACAGAGGUGGAAACUGUAGAGCCCCCUCCUGUUGAAAUUGUUGCAGAUGAAGUUGCACCUACAUCUGAUGAACAACCGCAGGAAUCACAGGCUGACUUGGAAACUUCUGACAAUUCUGAUUUUGGUCACCAGUUGAUAUGUUGUCUUUGUAGAAAAGAAUUCAAUUCCAGACGGGGUGUUCGUCGUCACAUUCGAAAAGUACACAAGAAAAAGAUGGAAGAACUAAAAAAGUACAUUGAAACACGAAAGAAUCCAAACCAAUCCUCUAAAGGACGCAGUAAGAAUGUUCUAGUUCCAUUAAGUAGGAGUUGUCCGGUAUGCUGUAAAUCAUUUGCUACAAAAGCGAAUGUAAGGAGGCAUUUUGAUGAAGUUCAUAGAGGACUGAGGAGGGAUUCAAUUACUCCUGAUAUAGCAACAAAGCCUGGGCAACCUUUGUUCCUGGAUUCUGUUUCUCCUAAAAAAUCUUUUAAGACUCGAAAACAAAAGUCGUCUUCAAAGGCUGAAUACAAUUUAACUGCAUGCAAAUGCCUCCUUUGCAAGAGGAAAUAUAGUUCACAAAUAAUGCUUAAAAGACAUAUGCAAAUUGUCCACAAGAUAACUCUUUCUGGAACAAACUCUAAAAGAGAGAAAGGCCCCAAUAAUACUGCCAACAGUUCAGAAAUAAAAGUUAAAGUUGAACCAGCAGAUUCUGUGGAAUCUUCACCCCCUUCCAUUACCCAUUCUCCACAGAAUGAAUUAAAGGGAACAAAUCAUUCAAAUGAAAAAAAGAACACACCGGCAGCACAGAAAAAUAGAGUUAAACAAGACUCUGAAAGCCCUAAAUCAACUAGUCCGUCUGCUGCAGGUGGCCAGCAAAAAACCAGGAAACCAAAACUUUCAGCUGGCUUUGACUUUAAGCAACUUUACUGUAAACUUUGUAAACGUCAGUUUACUUCCAAACAGAACUUGACUAAACACAUUGAAUUGCACACAGAUGGGAAUAACAUUUAUGUUAAAUUCUACAAGUGUCCUCUUUGCACUUAUGAAACUCGUCGGAAGCGUGAUGUGAUACGACAUAUAACUGUGGUUCAUAAAAAGUCAUCCCGUUAUCUUGGGAAAAUAACAGCCAGUUUAGAGAUCAGAGCUAUAAAAAAGCCCAUUGAUUUUGUUCUAAAUAAAGUGGCAAAAAGAGGCCCUUCGAGAGACGAAGCAAAACAUAGUGAUUCAAAACAUGAUGGCACUUCUAACUCUCCUAGUAAAAAGUAUGAAGUAGCUGAUGUUGGUAUUGAAGUAAAAGUCACAAAAAACUUUUCUCUUCACAGAUGCAAUAAAUGUGGAAAGGCAUUUGCCAAAAAGACUUAUCUUGAACAUCAUAAGAAAACUCAUAAGGCAAAUGCUUCCAAUUCACCUGAAGGAAACAAAACCAAAGGCCGAAGUACAAGAUCUAAGGCUCUUGUCUGAUAACUUCAAGUGAUGUACGAAAAGGUUUGGAGUUCAUUUUUGUGGAAAGACUUUAAAUUGGUGUUAGAACCACUAAACAUCUUCAAAUGGUACUAUGAGGAAAAAAAAAGAGAAAAAGUUUUGAUAAAUAUAUGACUGUAACUGCUGUUUUCUGACUAAAAUAAUAACCAUCUAACCACUUGUUUCUAAGGCACUGCCUCUUCUGGCACUUUCAAGUAGCUGUGACAUUACAUAUUGUCAUCACAGUUCAUCAGCUAACUACCCUUGUGCAUUUGGUCUACAGUUUCUACAGAAAUGUUGCAAAUUUUGUUUUCCAACAGUUUGUUGAUUAAAAUGAUCAACAACCUGAAGAAAAUAUUACCACUGGUAAUUUUUGAUUAACAAAGACUUUAUAUCUUAGCGAUUUUAGUUUUGUUCCACUUUAUUUGGCAGGAUUUUUAUCUGGAUUGUACAGGUAUAUAAUUUUCUAGUGAGUGUAUGUUAGGACCAAAAGAUCAAUCUCAAUACAUUAUAAAUAUUUAGCUUACUAAAUAUUUGUAAUUAUUUUUACAUCCAUUUUUUUCUAACUUGUUCUACAGUACUUAAAUGUUUGAAAGUUUCAUUCUAAGAUAUAUACUCCAGGAAGUUCCAGUUCAUUUUCAUCCGUGGAUCAUCACAUUCUUCAUUUGUAAACAUCUGAGGUUUUUAGGAAAAUUAAACAUUCCCUUAUUUUUCUUUGAAUUUCGUAUAAAGCACUUUACUGAUAGAUGCAACUUAAUUUUUCAUUUUUUUUUUAAGAUCACACAUUUACUAAUGUUAAUAUGAAGGUAGUCAAUAGCUUACUGAUAUUUUAUGGAUGCAGACAAUCCCUGCACAACCACUUAUUAUAAUACUAGUUUAUUUCUUUAAAUAUUGCUAAAAAAGGAAGAUUGGGGUGUGAACCCUGAUUCUUUGUCUCUCCCAAGUAAAAUCUUAAAUGACCACUUUAGAUAAUAUUUGAUUCCUAAGGUAAAUUUUAGAAAAUAAUGAAUUUUUGUCCAUUUUUAUAAUCAAGAUUUUAGGGAAAACAAAAGUACAUCUGUCUUUAAAGAAAUAUUGGGCAGGUUUUUGUGUAUCAAUAUUUUGUACUUUUUAGGGAGUAUUUUCUUUUUUAGUAAUUUUUGUCAAAUUUUAAUUUUAAAAGGUACAACAGAGGAUAUACCAUGUUUUUAUGUAGGUUCAUACCUGUACUUAGGAGGGACCCUUUCCAUCUAUAUACUUUUUGUAUAAAAUUUUAAAAUGUUGAAGAUCCACAGAGGUCAUAAUAAAAUACUUUUAUAGCUAGAAAGACAUUUACCCUUCCCAGUGCUUUGCACUAAAAUAUACUGUGAAAGGAAACUAGAAAGACUGUAACUGUUGCUGGAAAUGUUCUAUAUUGAAUGUACAUGCUCUUGUUGGAAAAAUGUACUAUAUGUGAUGGAAAUAAACCAGACUCAAAGUUAUUUCAGCUAAAUGUGCUUCAGCGAAGGUGCAUUGGUUGAAACUUAAAUGUUUUAUUAUCAAAUUUAAAUUUAUUCAGUGACUAUGAGCAGCUACACUUGAAGUUUAUCCUGAUAGUUUUAUUUUUAAGAAUUAGAGUGAUAAUUUCUCUUUAAUUUAAAAACAGAUUUACUUUCCAUAUAUGGAAAACUUGUUCUUAUAGGUCUAACUUUAAUGAUUAAUGGCAUAAUAUAUUUAGGGAACUAAAUGUGUAGGUGUUAUUUCAUUUAUAAACCAUCUUCAUUAGUUGCACAUUAUUAAACCUGUAUGUUUGACUUUUGCAAGGUGUUAUCUUUUAUGCAUUCCUACACACAAGACAUAUUCCAAAGAUAUUUUCCAGACUUAAGUACCUAUAACAAGUGGAAAGAUAUGAGGAUUCCUGAAAAGCUUGGGGUAGCUCUUUGCUGCAGCUUCUCAUGUGUAUGCCAGCUUUUCCUUUCUGCUUUGCUUGUUAAAUACUGUAGGGAAGAAAGAGAUGUUGGUAAAGGAGAGCCCAGUUGCUGCAGUUCCCUUAUCCCACUCACCUGUUUCCACAGGACCAUUCACAUAUGGUUUGUCUCUGCUGUCGUAACUUUAGGGCCACAGACCAGAAAUUUAGGAGGGGGCAUCAGGGCCAAGGACUAUAAAAAUAUUUCAUCCGGGUCAUAGAGAAAAAAAAAGCAUUGUGUCAUGACUUGUCUAAAUUAAAAGGGCCUAGAGAGAUUAAAAAUAGUUUAUCAUAAUAGCCAAAUUAAUGGAUCAUGGGAGACAUAGGAGUUAGAGACUAACCUAGGACCAGUUAAGAAAAGUAGAAUGAACAGGUAAGAAGUGAUUAGAAAUUCUUUGUUCUUCCUAUUCCUUUGUGGUCUUCAUCCUUACUUUCCGGUUUUAUUUUGACUCUUGAGCUUUGUCAUCUCAGAGGAUCAGGCUCCUGGCUCUUGAGAAGAGGCCUAAGAAAUUUGUGCGAGAAGCUGUAUAAGCAAGUAGGCUGUAUAAUCAGGUAUUUAUAGCACUUUUUGUUAUUGUAGGCGGAGAGUAGUUAAACAGGUAAAGAACCAUUAGAAACUUCUCAUUUUAUAUUUAGACCUGUCUCUGGCUACAGAUUAUAUCCACCUUUGCUGCUAUUUGAUCAGUUGAGAGUUUUUCUAUAGAAUUCAACUCAUCUUCCUUCAUGAAGAUACCUUUUGCUCCUAAAUGUGGUGGAAGACGAGAAACAAUAAAAGAUUCUACAAGAUGGAAGUAAGAGCCACAAUACUUGGAAUACCAGCCACCACCCAAUUUGCCAUGUCAUCUAAUUGCAGGUGUGUGAGUGCAUGUGUAUGUACCCUUUUUGUUGUUGUUGCAAGCACAGGGUUUUAGUUGGUCUGUAGCUGGUAAAGGGAGGUUUGUGAGUAUUGUGUGGGGAAAUAAGAGAGAUGGAAGUGGCCAGGCCUUGAGGGAAUCUAGAAGUGGUUGUACAAACUGGCUUCACCAUAUAGAUUUCAACUAGGUGUUAAAGAAACUGGAAAAAAAUAAUGCAACUCUGUUGACUGGGUGUUGCCCUCUUGGCAGCAGGAGUAUGGCUUUUCUGCUGCUAUUAGCCCUUCUGAGAUUCUGCUUUUACUUAAAAAAAAAAAACCAACAAAAAACACUAAUUACCUGAUUUGAUACCAUCUCAAUGUGGUUAUAUAACUGCCUCAUUACUUCCGCUGCUUGCCUCCUGUGUGUCUUUCAGCUACCUUCCCUCUCUAUAUAGCUUGAAUCUAGACUCCUGUAAGAGAAAAUCUGAUUGGUUCAAUUUGGUGCAUUCUUAGGCAAAUCUCCCAUGCCAGGCCUCUUUGUAGGUUGCUGGCCAUAGAUUGCUCUUCACAGGUUGGAUGUUCUUGGAACAGGUGCUCUCUGUUGGUCCUGUUGGUGAUCAUGGUAGCAGAGUCAGUGCCAUAAAACAUGGCCGUGGACCCAAUAAAAGGAAUCUUUUGGUGCCAGUCUUUUAAAAGAGAAAUCUAGAUAGUUCUAGAGUGUAAUAAUCUUUACAGUACAUGAUUUUCUUUCAUCUUAAAGGUGAUAGAAUGAAGGUAACCUGUGGGCUUGACUGUUCGUCAGUGCAGCACCAACGAUCCUUCCCAUACUGAGAAAAUGUGAGGAAGAGUUUUCAUCAGAAUCUGCAGUUCCUUUUCUGAACUGCCUAGUGCUGUUUCCAUCUUUGGCUUUGUAGAUUCAUAGACAGCCUGACGUUUUCACUCAAAAAGAGCCAUUACAUUUCAUGUAACAGCAUAUUAGGCCAUUCUGUCAGUUGCUACAAUUUUCCAGACACCCACAAUUAUGCUGCACAAUUUGAGUUGGUGAUUUAGUGAAUUCUUAAAAGUAUUGUGUCUGCUCUUCUUGUAUUUUCCACAUUUGGGCUUACUCUGCAAUAGUUGCUUUACAUCCUCUCAUUCAUUCCUCCAACGACAGGCACUAUUGAGUGUUCAUCAUGUGUUUGGCACCAUUCCCUUCUUCUGGGAAAACAGAAUCACACAAUGGUCAAAGUGUGGAUUUUUAAGAAUCAUGCAUACCUGAGUUCAAGUCCUGGUUCCUUUACUGUGUAGGUUGGGCAAGUUACUUAGUUUUUCUAAGCUUCAAGUUUCUUGUCUGUAAAAUGACAGUAUUAGAAAAUGCGGUACUCGUAGGUUUGUUUUGGGAAUUUAUAGAAGUUUAAUGAUAGGUAUGAUGUGAUACUUUGCUAUCAGUUUGCUGCCAAAAUACUUUCUGGAACUUGCCAAAUAGUUUCUGGUUAUCUUGCUUUGCCAUUUGAUGUUAGUUGCCUUUUUGUUGGUAUUAAUCCAGCCGUUCAAGGAAAAGUCAGAUGUAACAUCUGUGAUAAAGCCAAGAUGAACAGCAGUUUAUUAACUUAGAACAUUUUAUGCAUGCUUAUUUAAUCUGCCAUUUUUGGUGGCAACAAAUUCAAGAAUUUGUUGAACUUUAUGAUACAAUUUUGCUUUGUGAUCAUUGUCUUAUAGAAAAAUGCAUAGUUUUGAGGAGCAAAACUCAGCACAGCUUUCAAUUUUAUUAUGAUUAUUUUUUGUGAACAUUAGGUUAUGGGUACAAGAACUCAUUCUGAGUUUACAAGCAAGAAUUAUGUCUUCUCUUUGUAUCACUAAUGCCUCACAGUGUACCUGGCAUAUAACAGGUGUUAGAAGAAUGUUGAAGGAAGGAAAGAAGGGAAGCAGGCACAUUACAUCAGUUAUCUUCUGGCCUGUGUUAGUCCACAAUAUGUCUUUGCUUUUAAGCUUCCUUUCCCACUACCUCAUCUAAUCUGUAUAGCUUCUCUGCCUGUGAAUUCACCUUCAUUCCUAUUGCUGAUGGCUUCUGUUUCCUGACUUUUUAAUUUGAGCCUCCUAGCUUCUGCCAUUGCUACUAAGUAAUGGUGACAGUUUGAAAUUCAUGGGAGUGCUGUACUGACUGUAUACCCUGAUUAAAUAAUCCAUAAUCAGUUACACACUGUAUGGGUAUACAUUUAGUGAUUUUUUUGAUAAUUUUUUAAGAUUUACCUUUUAUUUUUUGUUUUAAAGAUUUUUUUGACACGGACCAUUUUAAAGUCUUUUAUUGAAUUUGUUACAUUUCUUCUGUUCUAUGUUUUGAUUCCUUGGCCCCAAGUCAUGUGGGAUCUCAGCUCCCCAGCCAGGGAUUGAACCUGCACCCCUCGUACUGGAAGGUGAAGUCCCAACCACUGGACUGCCAGGGAAGUCCCAUCCCUAAGAUAUACUUAUGUUUAAUUCAUUCCUAUUCAAUUGUAUGAAAUUCAUCUCACAGUUCACUUUCAUAUUCCACUUCCAGAUCUAAACAAACUAAGCAUACAAUUGUUGAUUGCCUCUUCUGUCAGUUGUGUGAUCUUAGGAAUUGGAAUCAGCUAUUUCAUUUAUCCAGUUCUCACAUUGCUACUUUAAAACUUUUACACUGCCCAGAAAGCCUCCAGCCCUAUUUUGCUUCCUUGAUAAGAGGCAUCCUUGCCUAUAUCAUGGCAAAUGGUAGAGAACAUUUCUUUAUUCUCCAUUUCUACACAAUUAUUUUUUGUGUUCUGUUCCUUCUUUGGUUCUUUGAAGGAAGAAGUGUUCUUGUCCAAGUCCAACAUUUCUACCCUUGCCAGUCUUCUUUCUCAGACCUUUCUCUAGCAGCCUUCCUCUCCUUCCUCCUCCCCAUCUCUGUCUCCCUUUCCACAAACUUCUCCCCCUCAGCCUGUGAAUAUGCUCAAAUUCCUUUCAGCCUAAAAGUAAACUUCCGCUCCAGACUACCUUCAGUCUAGUUACUGUCAUCUAUUCUUCCUUCCUUUCACUGUCAGAUUUCCACAUGCUCUCAUAAUACCCUGCUUUAGCACUAAUUUCACUAUGCUGUAAUUGUCUAUUUUGUUGUCUCCCUUCUCCAUUAAGCUCUUAAGAGACCUGUGCCUUGGUCACCAUUGAUUCCCUGGGGCCUAAGGUAGUUGCUGGUACAUAGUAGGCAUUCAGUAAAUAUUUGUUGAAUGAAUAAACAAUAUUGAGCCAUACCUAUACCAUUCACGUGUAACCAUCUGUAGUUUUUUCCUUCCCCUACAUUUCUAUUGAAAGUUCACUUGAAGGGCAUCAGUGACCACAUAAAUGCUAAAUCUAGUGCUUUCUUGCUUCCCAUCAUGCUUGACCUCUCUACGACCAUUAAUGCUUACAAAAAUUACCUUUCCAAGAUUUUCAUGGUCACUUAUAACUGGGUCACUUCAGGCUGGUCUCAGCAUGGUAUUGCAUCCAAAAGAAACAGACAAGCUUCCAAAUCUUUGAAAAAUAAUGAACCUUUUACUAUUUUAUAGAAAUCUUCUAAGGAGAUAGAAAGAUACAAGUAUGUUAAGCUCAGAAAACUUCAUGCAAGUUCUCUUUACCCAUCUCUUCCCAAAUCCUCAUAUGGAUUGGUAGCUUCUGUCAAUCUCCCUUCUGUAACAUUUCCCCCAAAAUCUUCUACAACCUUCCUACGAAAACCUCUUGUCCACUUUUUUCAUCUUUCUGGUUCUCUUAUUUUCUAUAAGAAUAACUCUUCUUUCCAAUUUAAAUCACUUUAGCCUCUCUGCUUCUUCCAGUUCUUUUGUAUAACCCAUUAUCCUGUUCGGCAUUCCAGAAGUCUAGGAGCAUUCUCUUGAUUUCAUCUGGUUUGUCCUUAGCAAUUUUCUUUUCAUGAUUUUACUUAAUUUUAAAGCCUUAGGUCAGGUACUGUCUUCAUUGGUGAGUAUUUCCUGAGCUAGGUUUGGCUGGGUUUCUCCCUUGUGUGUUUCUGUAGUGCCCCAUCUAUAACUAUAUUGGAAUUAUCUAUUUGUGUAUCUCGCCUAGUCUAUAAGCAUCUUAAGGACGCCCAUCUUUUCUUUAUACCCUUAGCAUCUAGCAUGAUACCGGGAACAUGGUGGAUGUUGAUAAAUACUUACUCAGCUGAUUUUCUUAUGAACUCUGAUCCUUCCUCUUUUGCCACUGACUUUUAUUUUGUUUCUAGGCCUUUAUGAUAGAGUUUCCUUACUCCCAUUUCUUUUUUUUUAAUACUCUUACUCUUUUUUUUAAUACUCCACUCUUUUUUUUAAAAUCAAUCAAUUAAUUUAUUUAUUGGCUGCAUUGGGUGUUGGCUGCUGCAUGCAGACUCCCUCCAGUUGUGGCGAGCAGGGACCACUCUUCCCUACAGUGCGUGGGCCUCCCCCGUUGUGGAGCAUGGGUGCUAGAGAUGUGGGCUCCAAUAGUUGUGGCACUUGGGCUCAGUAGUUGUGGCUCAUGAGCUCCAGAGCACAGACCCAGUAGCUGUGGCACACAGGCCUAUUUGCUUUAUGGCAUGUGGGAUCUUCCUGGACCAGGAAUCGAACCCACGUCCCCUGAAUUGGCAGGCAGAUUCUUAACCACUGCUCACCAGGGAAAUCCCGAUUCCUUCACUUCUAAAGCAUCACUUAUUACUUCUGUGAAGAUGACUCCAGAUCUGUUUUCUAGCCUGGCGAUUCUGAUUAUUGGACCAUAUAUUUUCAAAGUUACAUGUCAGACAUCUCCACGUGGAUAUUUCUCCAUAUUUUAAAAACAACAGAAACUCAGUAAACCAAACUUAAUAUCUUCUUUUUAAACUUACUCCUCCUUUAUGUGUUCCCUGUUUCAAUUAUUCACAUCUAGGCUUUCUUGUUACCUAGGCUAAUUAGAAUCCUAAGAAAUACCUUGCCUUCUUUCUCUCUCUUACACUUUUUACUAAUCAGUGAUCAAUGCCUGUCCAUUUUGCCUUUGAAUGUUUCUCCCAUUUGGGUCCUCCUUGCCAUCUCCACCUUUAGUAGUUUAGUUAGGACUCUUAUCUCUUAGCUACACUAUUGCAAUAAUCUCCUAACUGACCUCCUCUCUAAUCUGUCUUCCAUGCUGCUGUCAGAACUAUCUUCCUGAAACACAGAUGUGUUGUUACUGUAUGUGCAUUGCUUGACUAACUUACUCCUUGUCAGGUCUUAGCUUAAAUGUCACUUCUAAAUAAAGACAGUUUAAAAUAUUCUCCCUUAUAGUUCUGUUUCAUUUUCCUUUCCAUAUUGUCAUCUAAUAUGGUUUUUAGUUAUGUUUGUAUUUGUGUAUUGAUUUGUUUAAUGUUUGUCUUCCUACUGGAGAGAUUUAUGUGAGAGACUGGGGAGAGUUAUGUAGACCCUGUGCCUAGCACAAUGCUUGGGACGUAGUAAUCCUUAAAAAAUAUUUGUCGAAUGAGUGGAUGGAUAAUAGAUAGUUAUCAAUCUAGGAAAACAGGAGAUAGCAAAGCAGAAAAGUUACAGGGUCCUAGAAUCUUCCUGCAUUCUCAUGGACCUUGGUCUGUAUCUGGCCUUUCUGAAAUAGUAAUGGGCUUCUCCCUUCUGCUGUUUGCAUUUGUUUCCCUAAGGAUGGGAGUCAACAGUUAUAUUACCCUGCACUCACAUUAAUGCUGAUGUGACUAUAGUUGAUUUGGGGGCUGUAGGUGAUGGCAGCUAGAAUUGUUUACCUGUUAUUAAUGCAUAAGUGGUACCCUAGCCAUGCAGGCAAACUGGUAUUUGCUAAGUUGAGUUAACCAAGACUGCUGUUUAGCCUCUUGAGUGAUGCAGGCCUUUGUACCACAUGUUAAUUAAAGUGUUUAUUACUUGUAGGACUAGUUGUGUUUGACAUGAGGUAUUUAUUUGCCUUUUAAAGAUUAAAUAUUUUAAUUUAGCAAACUUUCUAUUGAGUGGAAAAUGAAAAAAAUUACUUAAAAAUAUUAUUUAGAAACAGGUUAGUGAGUAAUAAGCAAAUUAAACUCCCCUUCCCCGUGGAACCUGCUCAGGUUUCAAAAGUCAAAGAAUUUCAUGAGUAUUCUUCAGAUUUUACUGUCUUUGGUUGACUCACUUCAUCCAUUCAGUAGACAUUUUGAGCUCCUGCUUUGUGUGAGGCACUGAGUUAGGUGCUAGGGUUACAGAGAUGAGAAAUACAGUUCCUUUCCUCAAGUACUGUGAAAGAAGAACACAUUAUAAGGAUACACAGAAGUGGAAUAUUAAGUCACACUGAGGGAUUGGUGAAGGCUUUUCAUAGUUCAUUCAUUCAUUUUAAGUUGAGUUUUGAAUGAGUUAGCAAGGCGGACAAACUUUCCAGGUAGGUACAGAGGACAUGAGGACCACAUGUAGACCAAGGGAAGGAAUUAUGGCCAAAUCAAGAAAGGUCUUAUAUACCAAGUGAGUAGUUUGAAUCAUAUUUUCAAAAUUAGGGGUAGCUGUUGAAUGAUUUUAAGCCAGGGGCAUUGGAUAGCAUUGAGGAGACUGAACUGGAGACGGGAUAAGGGUAAGGUUUGUGGUGGGGAAAUCAAAUAGAAGCCAGUUUAAGAAGUUUAAGUGAGAAGUGAUAGGGACCUAAAUUUAGGUAAUGACACUGAAACUAUGGAGAUGGAUACAGAUACUAUAAUUAUUUCAGAAGUGGAAUUUCUGGGUGGAGCUGAAGAUGGGGUCUAGUUUGGGCAGUCUGGUUGGGCAGGUGGGUGGUACCAUCUUCAAGGUAGGGAAUACAGGGGGAGGAACACUUUUCUAGGGGGAAAUGUUGAAUUAAAGUUUAGACAUGUUGAGUUUGAGGUGCUUGUGGGCCAUCUCAUUGGAGAUGCUUAGUAUAAUAUACAGACUAGAGGUCAGAGAGAGAUUGCUCAGGAGCUGGAGAUUUAGGAGUCAUUCAUGUACCUAUGUUGAAAAUGUAGUGAUUACUGGCAAGAAAAAAGAGUCAACAUAUACUAAUUCUCACAUUCUGUUGCUUUAUUUUACAAUUUAGGUCAGUGCCUUCCUAUUUCAGUUUUUCGUUUGGGAAAUGAUGUUUGGCUAGCACUGGUUGUAUCUCCUCCCAGCCGCCACUCCCCACCCCCAUUGCCAAAUAUGAACUAUCUAUAAUACAGCAUGUAUUUGAUACUAUUCUAAGAAGUGCUGGAUAAUUAAAUUGUAAUAGUAUUAGGCAAUGUGAACUAAACUGUGUUGUAUUUAGAGUGCUUUUUCAAAAAUGUGUAAGACCUAUUUUAAACGAUUAUUUCUUUAAAAAGGAAGUAUCUUAUUUUUAAAAAUAAAACAAUCUAUUAGUGUUCUUGGACUGAAGAAGAUGUGUUUGUUGACUCCCACGGCUUUGGUCUACCCAGGAGUUGUUUGUGACUUAGUCCCUGCCUCAGACCAAGGCAGAAACUAUUUCUGAAAACUGGGAGGAAGCCAUCUGGGUAAACUAAUAGAAUCUGACAUAAUCCACAUGAUAAACUUAAGUAAUGUAGUAUCCAUAGCCAGAUUCUGAGGGCAAAAAUAUGCUAUUAAACAUUGAACAGAUUAUUGAAGUAAAUUAUAGUACUUUUACUUUGCCAAGCUGCACUGUUUAGACUGGUGAAUAUUUAAAAUAACAAUUAAUGAAAACUAGGCCGUGCAUUGUCGUGUAUGUUCCUGUGGUCCUCACUGGUUUCUCUCUCUUUCUUUUUACCUUCUUUCUGAAGGGAGAACCUAACAAUAAAACUUUAGAUCUUGUUAUCUAGAUAACCACUAGAGUUCAAGUGGAGAUUUUUGUCUUCUCUGAACUGAAAUGAAGCAGCCUGUUUACCCUGCCCAGGUCACUGGAAAACUUAGGAGGGUAUGCAGAAUGACUUUUUAAAAGUCAGUCUUGCUUGGGAUCGAAACCAGUGAUUUCAUACCGAAAGUGUAGGUCUGUAUAGCAUUUAAGCUAUACAACUUUUGAUUAACUUUUAAAAUCUGCCUUUAAAGGGAGGAAUUUCCAGGAGGCUGGAUGAGUUAUGAACCUUAAAAUUGAAGGUGCAUUGCUAUAGCACAGAAUUAUUUUAAAUCAUAAACUUUUUAAGUAAUACCUGUUUCAGAUCUUCCUUUUUAAAUAAAUUUGUUUCUAAACAUUGAUUCCUCCCCCCCAUCCCCUGCAAGCCUCUGUAUACUCAUUCUCACCUCAGUAAAUCACUAAGAGAUUAUUGAAAAAAUGUAUUAUUUAGGUGUCUGAAGGAUUGUAACAAAAACGAAUAGUGGAAUAGAAUUUUAGAAUUUAUACUUUCUGCAUUGAGGACUUCAUUUGUUUAAUAACCUUCUUUAUAUUUGUUGAUAUUCUUUCUUGCCCUAUGCCAACAUUUUAGAGAUAAAUUUUGUUUAGAUAUUUCUUACAAGAUUUAUCAGUAUGUUACCAAUAACAACACACACACACACACACUCAUUCACUCAUACACAUACACACACACUCUUUAUUCAUAAUACCUUGAAUUUGUAUUACAUAUCUUGCCAAAAGUUAUUACGUGGUUCUAUAUUAUUCCUUUAGCUUCACAAGAUUUCUAGAUCUCUGAGAGAGAAGAUAGUUUUUUUUUGUUUUGUUCUGAUAUUUUUUCACGUAGUGAAAUGCACAGUACUCUUUCAUCAACCAGACCCAACUCACAGUCUUAAUCAAUGGAAGAGUAGAACUGGCGCCCCUAGAUUCCUUGUUUUGUGUAUUUUGGUGGAGCUGACUCUUGAGUAUGAAGGUUGUGAUAGGAAAUGAUACUAGGUACUUGCAAGAAAAUACUGGAAGAGGGUUGCCAAACAUCUUGUAUAGAUGUAAUUUUCUCAUACUUCAGAGCCCUGUCCUAUUAAAAGUUGUAUCUAGAUGCAUAUUAAUCUUAUAAUUGAGCCUGUUCAGUCACUUUUGAUACAUCUCUAGCAUGUCAUCACUCCAGUGAAGUAGUCUAUCAAGAAAAUUUGGCAACCCAAUAUUUGAAAAAUAAUUUCUAACAUUUCUUUGGCCAAGUUACUAUUUAAAAUCAAACUGUGACUAAAACUAAGUCUAUCAUCCUAUCACCAGCACUGACUCCCCUUGCUUACUUUAUUUUGUCCAUCAUCGUUUUGCUUAUCACACAGAGUUAAAGUCUCAUUUCUUCUAUGGAUCUGUUCUUGGCAGCUCCAACCCAUGGUGACUUCUUCCUCUUUUGAACUCACAACACUUACCAUUUUUUUUCCCACUGUCAUCCUUUGUGUUAUUAGUGCAUUGUUAUUUAAUUACAGUGUCCCGUGAUUAGAUGGUAAGCCCUCUGACACUCAGGACUAACAGUUUUGCUCUAGAGCAUGUAAGGCCUUGAGUGAAUGGGUCAUCAGGCCCGUCCCCAUUUUCUGUUCUCCAGAUGUCAUUGUCCUCUUCAUGUCCUAUUUUACUGGUCUAAACUUUCUGUUGCUCUACAGUUGGCUACCCUGGGUCUGAGUAUUUUGUGUUUAUGAAGAUUAUAGAUGAUUUUUAGGAAGUUCUUGGGCUAAUUUUAGGGGAAUACAGAGGUGAUUUUUCAGCUUUUUCCUGUCUCAGGAUCUGUUUUUAAACUCUACCAUGAAGAUUCUACCUCUUUAUAAUUAUUUUUCAUAUUUACUCAUGUAUCAAAAUAUGUCUUGAGAGUCUGUAUCUUAGAAGCAAUAGUGUGUGUGUGUGUGUAUGUAAAAGUAGGACUAGCCAGAUUAUUUAUUUUUUUUACUUAUUGGGUGUGGCUUGUGAAAUCUCAAUUCCCCAACCAGAGAUUGAACCCGGGCCUCAGCAGUGAAAGCCUGGAAUCCUAAUCACUAGGCUAUCAGGGAACACCCAGGACUAACCAGAUUUUUACUUUUGAUACAGAAUAAAAAGAAAGUAGAGAAACAUUAUCAAGUUCACAAAUAUGAAUUUUCUUCCCAGACUCUUUUGCUUACUAUGCUGCUUUUGUAGCCUGAUGGGAACAGAGCAGGCAGAGUGUAAAUAAUUAUAUCAUCAUGUAUGUAAGUCACUGCAAAGUAAGGCUUAUAGUUAUUUUCUUUAGCCAUGUGUUAUAUGCAUUUUGUAGAUACCUUCUUUUGAGCCAAAAUUCUGUCAAAUUGUAGAUGGGAACUCUAGAGAUGUAGUAUAACCUCAUUUUAAAAUGGAGAAAAUUGAGGUAAGUGAUUGCACAAGGUCAAUGAAGAAGAUAGGAAUAGAGACCAGCUAUCUCUUAAAGAUUAUUUUAGGAGGUAAUAACGUGUACGUGUUUACAAAAUUAAACAGUACAAAAAGAUGUACUAAGAAAGGUAAGUUUUCUUUCUGCCCUAUCUCUUGGUUCUCUCAUUCCCGUCCCCAGAGUUAAGAAGUUAGUUUCCAGUUUCUUGGGCUUUUGAGAUCUGUUUUAUGUAUAUAUAAUCAUAUAAAUGUAUAUAUUCCCAUUCAUGCAAAUGAUAGCAUACUAUACACACUUUUCUGUACCUUGGUUUUUUUCAGUUUUUAAUAUGUCUGAAAAUUGUAGAACCCAGGCAUUUUUGUCCCUUGGUCCAUCCAUGAACUUUACUAUAUUGUCUAUCAUUUAGACAACCAGUUUUUGUUAAUGUGAACAAAGUGUUAAAUUAUUCUUUGCUUCUAGCAUAAUCAUAUUGAGUACCUUGUGCAGCAUAAUGUAGUAUUUCAAAUUUCUUUCAGAAAGAGAGAGAUCAUGGUCAUUGAUUUAUUUUAUGAUAAAUGUUAAAGUUAAAAAAAUAAGUGAAAUGUACAUAAUAAUUAUUACUGCUGGUUACCAAAAUAGCUGAUUAGGAUAUUUUCUUUAAUAUAUGAGAAAGAAAUUGCAGGUGAAAUUUUCAGGGAAAUCAUUUACUUUUAAACUUGUGUAGAAACCUGUAUGGUAUGUGCAAAACCAUUUAAUAUCUUAGUGCCAGUGAUAAGCAGUGAUGUUAUAAAUAUAAAACCGCAAAUGUUUAUUUUCUAAAUUUAAAAAUCUCCAACCUCAUAUACAGUUCACAGAAAUAAUUUUUCAUUUGUUUUUCAAAACAGUUUAUAUGUUUUAAUCUUCUUGAGAUGACUCAUGGUCAUCUGUAUAAAAAUAUACCCUUAAUUUUGAUCAUUCAGGCUUUAUUUUGGAUAGCUUAUCUGUCAAUGAAAUUAUUGCUUUAUUUUUCAGAGAUUAAUGGGGCCUAUUACAACUGCUUGAUUUUAAAUAUUUUGAACCAAACUGUAUCACAAAAGACAAAUCCGUUAAAAAAAAAAAAAUGUGUACCAUACCAAACGUCCAUGAUAGAAUUCAUAGAGGCCAAGUACUUACAUUUGAAUUUUACUUUAGAUAAUUAGUAAUCCUGCAUUCUCCCUAAAGAUGGCAGUGCUUCUCCAUGCAUCAUUUACCGAGUAAUUCUGUUUGAAAAUAGUAUUAAUUAUAACUCCAUUAUUGAUUGGAAAAAAGUUAAUCAGACAAAGUAUAUUUUCAUAAUAAUAUCACAAUAGUUAAAAUUCAGUAGUAGAACAAGUAAAAUUGUAUCCUUGAGGUUCAUAGCAUCAUUGCAACUUUUAUGUGUGUUAUUCUUGACACUGAAGACAGGGUCUUAGUGGUUCUUACUGCAUUCUGACUUUGGAAUUCUUGAUGUGACAUCAUGAACUCAAGUCUUAUCAAGAAUUGUGACAAGUCAUGUUAGGACCUUACUGUAUUUAUAUAGAUCUCUCUCCUUAUAGAGAUGUCAUCAGAAAAACUGACAAACAAAACACCCCAAACAGAAACAAAACCCCUAAGUAACUGUGUAUUGUAUAUAUUUGUGGAGAUGAGAAAUGUUUUAAUAUUUAUUCUUUGGUAAAAGUUCUUAUGUCCAACUUUUUCCUUUUUGCUUAGGUGACUAAUUCUUUUUAAUAAAUGAAACAAUUACUUAUUGGUGCCAGAAACAAACAAACAAACAAAAAACCCCAAAGCUUCAGCCUUCUCUGCUGUAGAGACUAAGCUCUGAAUACACAAGGUAGUGCUCUGGAACAUGGAGAAACAAUGCUAUAUUUUGUUCCUCCUUUUUCCAGUAUUCCCAUUUCGAAUUAAAUGGUUCUUCCUUGCGUGCAUGUGUUUGAAAUUACAUGGUUUUGUAGUUUGAAGAUGGUGAACAGCAAGACAGGGCAGGCUAGCCUCCCUGCUAGGCCUCACUUUGACAUGGUCACUACUUUCUAAGGCUGGUCCUUUUGGUUCAUCUAGGUCCAUUAUGGUUCAUCUAGCAAGGUGGCUAGGUGCUUGAGGACUGUGUUACUCUAACCAGCCUCAUAGAUACUGGUGUAUAAAUAACACAGUACUAAGUUUUAAAUUUGUCAUGAGAUGUUUCAGGGACACUGGCUUCUCAUGUUUAUGGUUUAGUAUAUUUUCUCCCAGUAGGCAAAUAUACUAAAGUAUAAUCAGAAGGUUUCUUGAUGAGCGUUGAAUCAGCUCUUAGCGACCAGUAUCAGCAAACUCUGGUAGUACAAUACAGUCAUCUUUCCCACAGGAAUAUACUGGCCACUCAGGUGAGGUAUUUAUCAAUUUUCAGAGCAUCCUUUCUAGUAGACCAGGAUGCAGACAGAUAGCCAGCUUUUGCUUUCUUGAUUUCUUACAGGUACUGUAGAUUAUCUCCUUUAACACAUUUUUCUUCCCAUUAGAGUUUAAUAAAAUUGCACUAAUGUAUGUAAAACACUUAGCCUAAUACCUGGCAAACACUAAAUAAAUGAUAACUAAUAUUAAUAAGUUGAACUGGUGUUAAGUUCAGGUUACCUUGGUACUUGUAAUGUCAAAGACAAUCUUUGGGGUCAUUUCUUUAGAUGACUUAUCAAUCUCAUCUUUCACAUUUUGAGUUAUUUUCAUUGUUUAAUUCCUUAUUCUUUUAACUCAAUUGCAUUUAUCAUUGAUGUUGAAUUCAUGAGCUAAUUAGGACAACCCCUUUUGCCUAUGCAUGAUUUUGUUAACAUUUUGUUGCUGAGAUUUUUGGUAUUUUUAAAAUUUUAAAUUUCUUGUGCCAAAAUACCCCAUUCCCCACAUUUCCUCCAUCUGUAAUGUGAAUCUGUUGGAAGAGAUAAUCUUCAAGUUACUGCUCAGCUCUAGGAUAUAGAUAAUUUUAUAUCUUAUUUGAGUAGAUGAUGUCAGUUGUAGGCCUUUCCAUCUAAUCAGUUUACCUUCAUUUCAGAUCUGCUUAAAUUCUUUCACAUAGUGUAAAGUUAUUUUGAAAAUGGUCUGAAUCCUUAGACUAGUAGGAUGACCAUGGAAUUGGGAGGCAGUGAUUGAACAGUCCAGGGGUAGAGGUAUGAUGAGGGUAAUGUCACAGCAGUAAGCAGUAACGUUACCGAUCUGGCAAAUACACUCGCGACAAAUCAAACUUUGUGUGUGAAAAUGAGUACAGAAAGGAAAAAUUGAGUCGAUCUGUCACUCUGGCAACAAUAAACAUUGUUGUCAGCCUUCUUCUCUUCAUCCAUCUGGAGAGAAGUUAUUCUUUUAAGAAUGACAAAAUAGCUUUAGGAAAACAGUGGAGAAAUUGCCACAGCUCUUUCUGAUGUUUGUAAAAAAUACAGAUUAUGGUGCAUUUUUGAAACUGGUGGUCUCAUAACCACGCUUUGAGGCCAGUCAUAGAUAGUAAACAUUGUGGGAGUUCAUGAAAAUGGAUAGAUUAUUUCAGACUGCAGUAAUCAGGGAAAGCUUAUUAGAAUGGCUGAGCAUCUUGAGGGAUGGGCAGCAUUUGAAUACAAGAGGAGGGAGAAGACAUUUUUUGAUGGAUGAAAUGCCAAGAACAAAAGCAUAGAGGUGGGAAAUAAUAGUGUAUGUUAGGGGAGUGGAGAGUCAAGUAGUUUGGUGCAAAGUUUCUUAAAUAUGGUCCAUGAAAGAGAAUUCAGGCAGUGCUUGUCACAUGAUAUCAUUCAUUCUAGAGUUGGAAAAAAAUGGGCACCAUGCCAUUUCCAUUUAUCAUGCAACUGGAUAAAACUAUUGAUGCCUCUCAGUGCAUCAAGCUUCACGUUUUCAUGUGCUCUCUAAUGUCAUCAACAGAGAAUUUCAUUUUAGGACUCUUUGGAAACUGGAAAGGCUGUCAAUAUCUUUAAAAUAAUCUCGCUCCCUCUCUCUCUGAUAAUUAUUCAAAUGGCAGGAAAAAAAUGAUAGCACUCUGAGGUUAGAUGUGCACCUGUGAUGUCAGGCAUACAUCAUGGUUUUCCUGCGCUGAUGAGGAAGGUAUAACCACAUGUUACUGUGCCUCAUUACUUUCCAUGUCAGCAGCUGUCACCACCUUUCCAAGAGGUAUUGCCAAGAAAUAGGAACAGAAUAUGAUGUUUUUCUCUACUAGACAGAAAUUUGCUGCCUUUCCAGAGGUCUUAAUUGAAAUUGAAGGCAGAGGAAAUAAUGUGACUUGACUUGGACUUGAAAGUCUUGGAGGAAUUUAGUGUUCUGGUACACAGGCUACCUUAAACUGAGAAAGCAUUCUAUGGAAUUCUGCUUUGGUUCUGUGUACCUUUGGAGUCAAGGAUUUCAACACUUGUUGCCAUGGAGAAAAAAGUUACAAAUGAUUAUCAAAGAUUAUGUAUGUGUUGCUAUGUCAAAAACCAUAUUACAAUUUCAACUCAAGUCAAAUCUCACUGAGAUUUAUUACUGAGCAGUUAGAAUUUAAAAAUUUCAGGAAGUCACUGUUUUUCUUUCAUGAAAAAUAACACUAUGAGGGAGGGAUUACUUUCUUUGUAAAUAUUGUUUUCUGUAUAUUGUUUAUGUUCAGGAAAUUAGUUUCUAGUGCAGUGAAACAGAGUAUAUGGUGUAUACGUUUAUGUGCAUGCUUCUGGAGGACAAAGUCCAUGUCUAAUCAGAAUCUCAGACUAGUCAUUCCCUUAAAAGGUUAAGAACUAAUAAAGUUGCUAGUGUGGAGACAAUGGGAUGCUCUGGAUGAAUCUGAACAAAGGAAUGACAGGAAAUUAGAAAUCUCAUCUGAAGAAUAUGAGGAGGAAAGCUUUGGCAGGACUGCAGGGUGAUUUAGGGAUUCAGGUUAGCCUUAGGGUUGGAGUUAUCUGAAUAAUCUGAAGGUAGUUUUUAGAUAGAGCUUCUCAAAGGAAAGAAUCUCAUGUUAUCUGUUUUUGGUUUCUAGUGUCUGAGCACAGUGCCCGAGACAUAAUAGGCAUUCCAAAAUAUUGAGUUAAAUUGAAAUUUCUGUAUGGACAUGAUACACCAAAUGAAAGUUGGAUGAUAGCACACCAAAAAUAAAUGCUCUUCUGUCUUAUCUGCAUUUAAUCCUGUUAUGUUAAAUCACUUGGUGUAAAAUAAGGGUUUUGGAGAGACAAUGCUUUAUAAAAAGCUCAUACACCAUUUUUGUUUGAGCAGUUGGUUAACAGAAACUUUGGCCUCUUGGGGUUUGUUCUUUUUGUAUAUUUUAUUUAUGAUAAUUUUGUUACUAAAGGUAUGUCUCUAGACAUGAUCAUUUUAUCCAGUACGUACAGAGGGAAGGAAACUUGCAGGAUGGUGUGGUUGAUUUGGGUCAUCAUCUAUUUAAGCAACAUUCCAAUAAACAUCUAAGCUUGGAUUUACUCAAAAUUAAGGAAAAUCAGUCUGACAACUCUGAGGUCACUUUGGCUUAAAAUAUCAUUGGAACUUAUGUAUUAAAUGGGUCUUCUAUCAGUUUAAUAACAAAGCCCUGGAAUCCCAUCCCUAUGUUAUAUUAGUAUAAUUUUAUUGCCAUCCUUACACAUUUUUUCUGGAACAAGGUUUAGCAAAACAGAUUUCCUCGGUAUUAAUAGUGCUAAAAAUUUAAAUUUGUUAUGACUGAAAGACCAAGAUAUAAAGUUUAGACUCUAGUUUAUUUUAAUAUUUUAGCUUUGCUCCCACUAAGUUCUUUCAAGUUUAAGAGCAAAUUAUUGAACACACUGUUAAAACACUGGUAUUAUCUAAAACAUUUGUUCAAAAGUAUGGUAAUUUUUUUUGGCAAACUCUGUUCCCAAGUCUGUGGAAGUUACAAAUCAAAUUAGGUUCGUUAGAAGCCCAGAAAGUUUUUUUUUUCCCCCUGAAGUAGAAAUGUUUAAUAGAAUAAAACAGGGUAUAACUUUCACAGAAGACAGUGGUUUUGAUUAACUAUAAUGUUUAAGGCAUCAACUGCUCUGAAAUACUGUGGUUUACUCAGAACUUUUGAGGAAGAUAACUUUUGUGGACCAUUCAUUCAUUCUUAAAAUCUUUUCAUAUCCACCUUGCUACACAAUAUGAAAUAUAAUUUUGAAUUGAUAGGAAGUUAGAAUGGGUUCAUGAGAAUGGACUAAAAUGCCUUGUUAAGUUACUUGAAUUUUUAAUUAUAAAGAUAUGCUAUUGUAUACAAUUUGGGAAACAUAAAUAAAGGUUACCUGCAGCCUCAUCACCUGAAGAUAACCACUUAACAUUUUGGACUGUUUCAUUAUUUUAUACAUGUGUGGUGUGUUGUGUGUGUAUACACAUGUAUGCAUGUAAGUAUACACACAUUCCCACACACUACACAUGGGGAGGAAACUAAUUUUUUUCAUUCUAUCUAGUAUACCUUUCCACAUGAAUAGAUAUUAUAUCGCAGCAUUAUUUUAAUAGCAGGUUAGUAUCAACUGUAAGAGAAAGACUAAUCUUAUUGUUGGGUAUAGGAUAGUCCCAGUUUUUCUUGAAAAAUUUUUUUUCAUUUUCUUUGCUUGUUUUUUUUGCUGUUCUAGAUACUGCACUGAAUACCCCGUAUGAAAUUUUUGCAUGUAUUUAUAAUUAUUCCUUAAGGGAAAACUCUAAAACUAGAAUUUCUGGGUCAGAGAGUAUUGAAAAAUUUUGAUACAUUUUCCUAAAUUGCUAAAAACAUGUUUAAUGACACUUCAAUUGGAUGCUGUUUGCCUGUGAUCAACACAGGUUUAUCUCCUGUGUCCACGUGACAGACAACCUGUUGGGCGGAAAUGGCAUCGCGCUGAGUUUGGGUUGGCGGCUCCCUGAUUAGCUGGGAGGCGCGGGCGCGUUCGGCCCGUUUCUAACCGCCGUGUCUUUGUCUCUCUCCCUGGGGACCGCUGCCGCCCGUGCGGGCCGAAGCCUCGGGAAGCCGUCGCCCCGCAGCGCCGCCGCCCUGCGCCCGGCCGCCGCGGGGAGCCGCGGCCCGCCCGCGGGCGCCGUCACCACGCGCCAGGCCGCCGCCAGCUGCCGCGCCAAGCUCCGCGGCGGCGCCGCUCGGGA